GCAGUAAACGGUGCACGCUUGGUGUGAGGGGAAUCGACCCCCCUUGUGCCGGAGCUAACGCGUUAAGCGUGCCGCCUGGGAAGUACGGUCGCAAGACUAAAACUCAAAGAAAUUGACGGGGACCCGCACAAGCGGUGGAGUAUGUGGCUUAAUUCGAUGCAACGCGAAGAACCUUACCAAGGCUUGACAUGCAUCUCUAAACACGUGAAAGCGUGUGACCCUUCGGGGAAUUUGCACAGGUGCUGCAUGGCCGUCGUCAGCUCGUGUCGUGAGAUGUUGGGUUAAGUCCCGCAACGAGCGCAACCCUUGUGAUUAGUUGCCAGCACGUCAAGGUGGGAACUCUAGUCAGACUGCCCAGAUCAACUGGGAGGAAGGUGGGGACGACGUCAGGUCAGUAUGGCCCUUACGCCUUGGGCUGCACACGUACUACAAUGCCCAGCACAAUGAGAACCGAUGCCGCGAGGUGGAGGAAAUCUGUAAAACUGGGCUCAGUUCGGAUUGGAGGCUACAACUCGCCUCCAUGAAGUUGGAAUCGCUAGUAAUGGGGCAUCAUCUACGGCCCCGUGAAUACGUUCCCGGGUCUUGUACACACCGCCCGUCACAUCAUGGAAGCCGGUCGCACCCGAAGUGCCCGUACCAACCGCAAGGGGGUAGGGUCCUAAGGUGUAGCUGGUAACUGGGAUGAAGUCGUAACAAGGUAACC
rnacentral:rRNA from 1 species